rnacentral:rRNA from 1 species
GACGUAGGGCGCGAGCGUUGUCCGGAAUUAUUGGGCGUAAGGAGCUCGUAGGCGGCUUGUCACGUCGGGUGUGAAAGCCCGGGGCUUAACCCCGGGUCUGCAUUCGAUACGGGCUAGCUAGAGUGUGGUAGGGGAGAUCGGAAUUCCUGGUGUAGCGGUGAAAUGCGCAGAUAUCAGGAGGAACACCGGUGGCGAAGGCGGAUCUCUGGGCCAUUACUGACGCUGAGGAGCGAAAGCGUGGGGAGCGAACAGG